AUUGAACGCUGGCGGCAUGCCUUACACAUGCAAGUCGAACGGCAGCACGGGUGCUUGCACCUGGUGGCGAGUGGCGAACGGGUGAGUAAUACAUCGGAACGUACCUUAGCGUGGGGGAUAACGCAGCGAAAGCUGUGCUAAUACCGCAUACGCCCUGAGGGGGAAAGCGGGGGAUCGCAAGACCUCGCGCGAUUAGAGCGGCCGAUGCCGGAUUAGCUUGUUGGUGGGGUAAAAGCCCACCAAGGCGACGAUCAGUAGCUGGUCUGAGAGGACGAUCAGCCACACUGGGACUGAGACACGGCCCAGUCUCCUACGGGAGGCAGCAGUGGGGAAUUUUGGACAAUGGGGGCAACCCUGAUCCAGCAAUGCCGCGUGAGUGAAGAAGGCCUUCGGGUUGUAAAGCUCUUUUGUCAGGGAAGAAACACCGGCUCUAACACAGUCCGGGAAUGACGGUACCUGAAGAAUAAGCACCGGCUAACUACGUGCCAGCCGCCGCCGUAA
rnacentral:rRNA from 1 species